AUGAGCUUUUGGGGAGCAACACUAAUUACAAGCUUAGCUAGCGCCAUACCAGUAGUAGGAGAUACCAUAGUGACUUGGCUUUGGGGUGGUUUCUCCGUGGACAAUGCCACCUUAAAUCAUUUUUUUAGUCUCCAUCAUUUACUCGUCCUUGUUCUUCCUUUUGAUUUAAACGUUCUCCCCCCGGGAGCUGCAGAAUUCUGCAGCCCCCUUUUCCAGAUCAUGAAAAUGUGGAGAGUGAUGAUUCAUCAACUGAUUCAUCAGGGAGUUCAUCUGAUGAUUCAUCAACUGAUUCAUCAGGGAGUUCAUCUGAUGAUUCAUCAACUGAUGAAUCAGAUCUUGACACGGAUUAUGAUGAGCUAA
rnacentral:rRNA from 1 species